AACCAAAAUGCGGCACUGUGUUAAAAUUCGCAAAGAAAAAAAAAGCGAAAAUAGAUCUGUGUAGCAAUUGAAACACCUAAAAUCCUUUGUUAGCUGCUGCUGCUCCGACGGGUAAGCAAACCUUACCAUCUAUUCUAUUUCUGUGUUAUUCCUGAAUGUGCCCUGAAGAAGCCGAUAGGGAAUAACGGCGGAGGAGGCAACCUGGGUUUGUAUCUGGUUCGAGGUUUUUUGUGUUCAUUUCCCCAACUAAGAUGUAGGAUGGUCCUAACUGGUACCGGGAUCAUAUAAGCGAGGAAGAGGGAUUUGUUAGGGUCUAAUUCUGUUGUUAGUUCCCAAGUCCAUUAAUGUUAAUAAUUGGCAAGCAAGAACCGAGUUUGUUGGAUUCAGAUGGAUCUUUGCCUUUUUACUUCUCCGAUGAUGCUCAUGAGGAGCUAUAUGGUCCCAAUUCUGGUGUUAUUUAUUAUAUGAAAAAUGAAAAAUAUUUGUGAACUCACCUAGUCAAACAUAUAACCACAUUUACCAGGAUAUGAACUUGAAUGUCAAUUUUAAUCUUCAAUUAUCGGAAUUCUUAGCCUGGUUUAAGACUACCUAUGUCACUUAGUAGUUUCGUUGCCUGAGGUAAAACUGAACAUGCUUUCUAUUCUUCAUUUUGUUUGACGAUCUCGUGGUGAAAUUUGGAUGAAAUAGAUUGUAACGAGCUGGGUUUUGUCAAUGUGUUAGGUAAAAGAAGCAGGAGGUACAUUUCAGAACUGUUGUGCGGUUGUAAAUAAAUGCAGAGAUGUGUUUAUGUUAUCCCAAAUGGUUCUAUAUUUCAAAUGAUGCAAUCUCAAAGCUCGAGGAGGAUGAAAAAGAAAAUCAGAUCAUUUCAUGCACAUAGUUCCGCUCAACACUGCAAGCAAUUUCAUCAAUAAGAAAUUAGUAAGAGAGAAGUUGUUUGAGCAGGGGGUAUUGACUUUCACCAUGACUCCCGUUAAGAGAAGCUCUGCGUUUGAGCGGUCAGACAUUCUUAUGGGGGAGCAUUAUCUUCUUAAGAUAACUUACCCGUUUAAGGUCUAUCUUUGACACGCAAUAUACUACUUGGUCUUAAUCUGCACGUAAUUGGCGACUCUACCAAAGGAGCAAUUUAUCCAAACUACGCUCAGUGUAAUGAACACCUCGUUAGUAAGUGGGAGCUCAAGGUCAGGAUACCAUUGCAGAAAGAACUUGCAAGAAUUCAACUAAUGGUUGAUUUGGCAGCAUCAACUCUGCAGAAAACUCUGAGAACGGUGCGCAUAUGGGUGGGUCCAGAUUAAGCUCUUCCGCUUACAUAUUUUUGUUCUGUUUUAUUAUGUAUAUAUAGACUAGGGUGUUAGGUGUAGCUUUGAGAAUAGUAAGGUAUAACCCGUGCGGCGUGGUAUUUAUGCACGUAUUGUUACUGCAUAAAGCGUAUUUUAUCAAGUAAACGAUGUUGCAGACUUAGAGUGAGUAGUGACAAUUUAUCUCUGGUAACAUUUCAACUUAUUUCAACUGCCUC